CCUACGGGAGGCAGCAGUGAGGAAUAUUGGUCAAUGGCCGGGAGGCUGAACCAGCCAAGUCGCGUGAGGGAAGACGGCCCUACGGGUUGUAAACCUCUUUUGUCAGGGAGCAAGGUGCAGGUCGGGACCUGCUGUGAGAGUACCUGAAGAAAAAGCAUCGGCUAACUCCGUGCCAGCAGCCGCGGUAAUACGGAGGAUGCGAGCGUUAUCCGGAUUUAUUGGGUUUAAAGGGUGUGCAGGCGGAGGCACAAGUCAGCGGUAAAAUCGCGGGGCUCAACCCCGCUCCGCCGUUGAAACUGUGUGCCUUGAGUGCGCGAAGGGUAGGCGGAAUGCGUGGUGUAGCGGUGAAAUGCAUAGAUAUCACGCAGAACUCCGAUCGCGAAGGCAGCCUACCGGCGCGCAACUGACGCUCAUGCACGAAAGCGUGGGUAUCGAACAGGAUUAGAUACCCGGGUAGUC
rnacentral:rRNA from 1 species